UUGGUUAUGAUACAAUGACUGAGUAGAAAGUGAUAUGGACGGUGGCUAUCCUGGAGAGGUGGUGGUGCUUAUGAGAAUAAGUUCCGAAAUCUUAGUGAAAGGAGACGCCUUUUGCCAUUUGAGGGCUGGAUCGCCUUGAUUCUAGUAUUUGCCCCAGUUUUGAAAGUAGCUAUUGAGUUAC
rnacentral:sRNA from 1 species